rnacentral:rRNA from 1 species
AUUGAACGCUGGCGGCAGGCCUAACACAUGCAAGUCGGACGGUAGCACAGAGGAGCUUGCUCCUCGGGUGACGAGUGGCGGACGGGUGAGUAAUGUCUGGGGAUCUGCCCGAUAGAGGGGGAUAACCACUGGAAACGGUGGCUAAUACCGCAUAACGUCGCAAGACCAAAGAGGGGGACCUUCGGGCCUCUCACUAUCGGAUGAACCCAGAUGGGAUUAGCUAGUAGGCGGGGUAACGGCCCACCUAGGCGACGAUCCCUAGCUGGUCUGAGAGGAUGACCAGCCACACUGGAACUGAGACACGGUCCGGACUCCUACGGGAGGCAGCAGUGGGGAAUAUUGCACAAUGGGCGCAAGCCUGAUGCAGGCAUGCCGCGUGUAUGAAGAAGGCCUUCGGGUUGUAAAGUACUUUCAGCGGGGAGGAAGGCGAUGUGGUUAAUAACCGCGUCGAUUGACGUUACCCGCAGAAGAAGCACCGGCUAACUCCGUGCCAGCAGCCGCGGUAA